rnacentral:rRNA from 1 species
AUUGAACGCUGGCGGCAGGCUUAACACAUGCAAGUCGAACGAGAUCUUCGGAUCUAGUGGCAGACGGGUGAGAAACACGUGGGAACAUCCCUUUCAGUUCGGAAUAACGUUGGGAAACUAACGCUAAUACCGGAUACGUCCUUCGGGAGAAAGAUUUAUCGCUGAAAGAUUGGCCCGCGUCUGAUUAGCUAGUUGGUGAGGUAAUGGCUCACCAAGGCUACGAUCAGUAGCUGAUCUGAGAGGAUGAUCAGCCACAUUGGGACUGAGACACGGCCCAAACUCCUACGGGAGGCAGCAGUGGGGAAUAUUGGACAAUGGGCGCAAGCCUGAUCCAGCCAUGCCGCGUGAGUGAUGACGGCCUUCGGGUUGUAAAGCUCUUUUGUCCGGGAAGAUAAUGACUGUACCGGAAGAAUAAGCCCCGGCAAACUUCGUGCCAGCCGCCGCCGUAA